ACGAAGGUGACGUUAUUUUCGGGAUGUCGUUUUGAAAGUUUGCAAUUCUUGAAAAGGUCUCCUCAGUCUGCUAGAAGAUGAAGGCAAAUAUGUGAACGAAAAGGGUUUACGAAAAGAAGGCCUCAUAUUUUUCCUUUCACUUUCACUUUGCUAAGACUCUGAUCGUGCUGGAUGAUGAGAUUGACCAGUCCACUCAGCUGGGGGCAAACAAAACACGAGAGAAGAAGAAAACUACAGUGUCAUUGUUAUUGUUAUUAAAAGCUAUUAGCAAAGGAGAUAUUCAGCGAUGAUGUUUCAAAGAACCUAGAAGAAGUAGUGGCCAUACUAAAGCCAAGUGGUCCUGAAUAGGUGAUGCAAGAGAGUUCUGAAACCGACGACGAUAUUGAAUCAGAAGGUGCUGACAGCGAGGAGGAGGCAGGGUCAAACGAAUUUAUGGAGUCCGAUGCAUGUGAGGGAGCUGAAUUCGAAGAUAUCGCAAUUGUUGAAACUAAUUAUGAUCCAUAGAGAAAGAAGAUUUCAAGCCAGUGAGCACUUUGUAAAAAACAAUUUUCAAACAUCGUUGCUGUUACAAUUAUGAUACAAAUCGGGUAUGUUUUAUUAUUUUGCAGAUUGUUGACUUAUAGAAAACGUUCAAACAAUUUUAACUCUUCUGCCAAGAAAUUAAAUUA
rnacentral:misc_RNA from 1 species